AAAAUGCCCAACCCCAAAACCUCCCUUUCGGCGCUUCUGCUACAUAAUACAAACAAACUUUGCACCCCAAACCCAUCAAAAUACAAUCACCACCAAGCCCAAAGUACAUUUCUUUUUUCAUUGUCUGCGAUACCCACAUCGAAAGAGAGGCAGAGGAGAAGGAAACAGCAAUGGAAGAAGAGGGAGUCGAGAUUGUAUUGGCUAAAGCAGGAGAAAUGAGGGUAGCAAUUGCAUCCACAAAGCAAGUACCAGCACCAACAAUACCAAUGUCGACUCUAUCUCUUCUAAAGAAAACAAACAAGAAAAGGGAGGUGUUGAAGAGGGCGUGAUUGUGAAGGGGGAGAAUGAAAAGAGCGCUAAUUCUCAGUGUCUUGAUGGGGUUUCCUUGAGUGAAGCAGACGAAGAAGAUGACGAGACUGAGAGGCUUUUUAUUAUCCGCGAUGCUCUUGAAUCCCUUGAGCACCAGCUCUCCAACUUGCAGGAUUUGCAGCAACAGCAACGUUAUGAGAGAGAAGUUGCCCUUAGUGAGAUUGAACAGAGCCGCAAGAUGUUAUUGGAUAAGCU
rnacentral:misc_RNA from 1 species